rnacentral:rRNA from 1 species
GACGAACGCUGGCGGCGUGCUUAACACAUGCAAGUCGAACGGUAAGGCCCUGCUUGCGGGGUACUUUAGUGGCGAACGGGUGAGUAAUACGUGGGUAAUCUGCCCUGCACUUUGGGAUAAGCCUGGGAAACUGGGUCUAAUACCGGAUAGUAGUUACUUCUAGAGGGAUGGUGGGGGAGUGUUUUUGGUUGUGGAUGAGUUCGCGGCCUAUCAGCUUGUUGGUGGGGUAAUGGCUUACCAAGGCGGGGACGGGUAGCCGGCCUGAGAGGGUGGCCGGCCACACUGGGACUGAGACACGGCCCAGACUCCUACGGGAGGCAGCAGCGGGGAAUAUUGCACAAUGGGCGCAAGCCUGAUGCAGCGACGCCGCGGGGGGGAUGACGGCCUUCGGGUUGUAAACCUCUUUCAGCAGGGACGAAGCUAUAUGUGACGGUACCUGGAGAAGAAGCGCCGGCUAACUACGUG